rnacentral:rRNA from 1 species
GAUGAACGCUGACAGAAUGCUUAACACAUGCAAGUCAACUUGAACUUCGGUUUGGGUGGCGGACGGGUGAGUAACGCGUAAAGAACUUGCCUCACAGAUAGGGACAACAUUUGGAAACGAAUGCUAAUACCUGAUAUUAUGAUUUUAGGGCAUCCUAGGAUUAUGAAAGCUAUAUGCGCUGUGAGAGAGCUUUGCGUCCCAUUAGCUAGUUGGAGAGGUAACGGCUCACCAAGGCGAUGAUGGGUAGCCGGCCUGAGAGGGUGAUCGGCCACAAGGGGACGGAGACACGGCCCUAACUCCUACGGGAGGCAGCAGGGGGGAAUAUUGGACAAUGGACCAAGAGUCUGAUCCAGCAAUUCUGUGUGCACGAUGAAGUUUUUCGGAAUGUAAAGUGCUUUCAGUUGGGAAGAAAAAAAUGACGGUACCAACAGAAGAAGUGACGGCUAAAUACGUG